rnacentral:rRNA from 1 species
UACGUAGGGGGCAAGCGUUGGUCCGGAAUUUAUUGGGCGUAAAGCGCGCGCAGGCGGUACUUUAAGUUCUGGUGUUUAAGCCCGAGGCUCAACCUCGGUUCGCACUGGAAACUGGAGUACUUGAGUGUAGGAGAGGAAAGCGGAAUUCCACGUGUAGCGGUGAAAAUGCGUAGAGAUGUGGAGGAACACCAGUGGCGAAGGCGGCAUCCUGGACCAAUAUUGACGCUGAGGAGCGGAAAGCCAGGGGAGCAAAACGGG